rnacentral:lncRNA from 1 species
AUCCGCCCACUGCGGCAGGCUAAUCUACUAUAAAAAAAAUAAAAAAAAAUUUAAAAUUUGUGGGGAAUUUGGCAUUUGAUAUCAAUAAAUAUAAAUAAUAUAAAAAAAAAAAGUAUAAAGAGAUCUUAUUUAUUCUUUUUCUUGUGAAAAUAAUUUGUUUAGAUGACGAUAAAUUACGCGAAUGUAAAUGUAUUAUUUGAAAAAUAAGAAUGUGAGAAGACGAAAUAUCAGACGUAGAUAGAAAGUGUGAAGGUGAGUAGAAAUUAAGAGGGAUAAGGUAAGGAUAAAGAAUGAAUUAUCGUGUUGCAAAUUCUAUGAGUAAUAAUGUAUAGGUAUAAGUAUAGACGGUCAAAAAUUAGAUUCAACUUUUUCUUUCCCCCUUUUCUAA